rnacentral:lncRNA from 1 species
CUUUGGCUGGGUCUGUCCACCUCUGUUCAGAGACGAUGACCCUCACUUUCUAUUCUGUUUUAGAAGGUACUUUCCGUUCUGUCCUAGAACGUAUUGUCCACUCUCUGCUGUCUAAGUGCCGUAAAUCUCCAGCUGAUAAGGUCCUGGUGCCGUGUUCCCUGCUCUCAGGGAGCACCAAGCUCUUCCUGGGAGCCGUGUGGGCCACCAGUGUCCUCUUCCUACUGCUGCAGGGUGCCCUACGGGUUGCUUUUGUCUCCCUGGGACCUGAAGCAUGCUUCUGGGGCCAUUUCUGACUUCCUGUCUGGGAUGGCAUCCACGGGGAUAACACUUGGCUUCUGGAACCCCAUCACUUCCCAGGUGAUUCCCCACCCUUCUCCUCAGGAUUCAGUCUGGAGGUGCCCCUGACUGCCCCCACUUCAGACCCCUCCCGACUAGCCCUCCUGGGUCCCCUUCUGGCCCUGGGUGAUGCUUGAGUCUGUGCUCGACUGGCAGCAAGAACCAGCC